rnacentral:rRNA from 1 species
GAAACGGUAGCUAAUACCGCAUAACGUCGCAAGACCAAAGAGGGGGACCUUAGGGCCUCUUGCCAUCGGAUGUGCCCAGAUGGGAUUAGCUAGUAGGUGGGGUAACGGCUCACCUAGGCGACGAUCCCUAGCUGGUCUGAGAGGAUGACCAGCCACACUGGAACUGAGACACGGUCCAGACUCCUACGGGAGGCAGCAGUGGGGAAUAUUGCACAAUGGGCGCAAGCCUGAUGCAGCCAUGCCGCGUGUAUGAAGAAGGCCUUCGGGUUGUAAAGUACUUUCAGCGGGGAGGAAGGGAGUAAAGUUAAUACCUUUGCUCAUUGACGUUACCCGCAGAAGAAGCACCGGCUAACUCCGUGCCAGCAGCCGCGGUAAUACGGAGGGUGCAAGCGUUAAUCGGAAUUACUGGGCGUAAAGCGCACGCAGGCGGUUUGUUAAGUCAGAUGUGAAAUCCCCGGGCUCAACCUGGGAACUGCAUCUGAUACUGGCAAGCUUGAGUCUCGUAGAGGGGGGUAGAAUUCCAGGUG